rnacentral:rRNA from 1 species
GAACGCUAGCUACAGGCUUAACACAUGACAAGUCGGAGGGGCAGCAUGAACUUAGUCUUGCUAAGUUUGAUGGCGACCGGCGCGACGGGUGAGUAACACGUAUCCAACCUUCCGUUUACUCAGGGAUAGCCUUUCGAAAGAAAGAUUAAUACCUGAUAGUAUGGUGAGAUUGCAUGAUAGCACCAUUAAAGAUUUAUUGGUAAACGAUGGGGAUGCGUUCCAUUAGGUAGUAGGCGGGGUAACGGCCCACCUAGCCGACGAUGGAUAGGGGUUCUGAGAGGAAGGUCCCCCACAUUGGAACUGAGACACGGUCCAAACUCCUACGGGAGGCAGCAGUGAGGAAUAUUGGUCAAUGGCCGAGAGGCUGAACCAGCCAAGUCGCGUGAAGGAAGAAGGAUCUAUGGUUUGUAAACUUCUUUUAUAGGGGAAUAAAGUGGAGGACGUGUCCUUUUUGUAUGUACCCUAUGAAUAAGCAUCGGCUAACUCCGUG